rnacentral:rRNA from 1 species
UACGUAGGGAGCGAGCGUUGUCCGGAUUUAUUGGGCGUAAAGCGCGCGUAGGCGGUUUGAUAAGCCGGGUGUGAAACCUCCAAGCUCAACUUGGAGCGGCCACUCGGAACUGUCAUGACUUGAGUCAGGUAGGGGAACACGGAAUUCCAGGUGUAGCGGUGAAAUGCGUUGAGAUCGGAAGGAACGUCCGUGGCGAAAGCGGCUCUCUGGGACGGUACUGACGCUGAGACGCGAAAGCGUGGGGAGCGAACGAGG